rnacentral:rRNA from 1 species
GACCAUGGCUCAGGACGAACGCUGGCGGCGUGCCUAACACAUGCAAGUCGAGCGGAGACAGUGAGUAGCUUGCUAUGAGCUGUUUUAGCGGCGGACGGGUGAGUAACGCGUGAGCAACCUUUCCCAGACAGGGGAAUAACACACCGAAAGGUGUACUAAUACCGCAUAAGACCACGGGAUCACAUGGUUCUGGGGUAAAAGAUUUAUCGGUUUGGGGUGGGCUCGCGUCCGAUUAGGUAGUUGGUGAGGUAACGG